GAGUUAAAAUUGUAUAUGUGCAGGUGUAAAAAGUUAAGCUUAAGCUUACAGGUUUAAACCUUGCUGGUACAGCUGUAAAAAAAAUAAGACAGAGUAGCACCUUGGCAGUAGGGACUCCAUUUUGGAGCACUUGAGACUGCAUUCUGGGAAAGCACCCCCCCACUGUGAGACUCUGGUCUGAAACUAUGAUCUCAAAUAGUCGGACAAUAGCAGUGCACUACAUCACCCUUGGCAAUGCACAAAAACCCCCUAGCAUGACUGCUCAAGCUUAAAAGUAGAAAGGUUGCACCUGGGUUACCUGGGCUAAUAAUAAAGAUGUGAUUUGUCUGUGUCUUACAUUAAUGUCAAGUCCUAAUUGCUAAUUGUAAUAUUGUAACUGGUAUUGUCAAGAUUAUGAUAAAUAUUAAUUUCAAUUAGGUUUUAGGUUAUGUUGACCCCAGUAACCAUAUACUCUUUUGAUUUUAUGUACUCUCUUUUGAUUUUAGCAACUGUGUAUAGCAACCGUGCAUAGCAACCGUGUAUUCCCCCCUUCCCAGUUUUGCGGUUUUUGCCUUUAUAAAUCCUAACCUUUGGUUAUUCGGGGCUGCUCUGUUCAUGUAUGGUCAGACAGCCCCAGCAUGCUGGAUAAUCAAUAAAGCUUCCCCUUGCUGUUUGCAUAAGAGAUGUCUCUUGGUGACGUUUUUCGGGCAGUGGACUCUAACAUUUGGAGGCCCCAGCGAGAUCUGACUGCUGCCUGCGGACGUCUCCAACAGAUAUCUCUCGGGGUAAGUUGCAGGCGCCUAUUUGUGUUGUCGGCCGGCUUAUUUGUGGUUUGUGUCUCUUCAUUCUGGAUUUUGGUAGUUUGUGAGCGCUCUAGGGUUUUGGGAACUGUGCUGGUGUAGUAGCUGCUGGGACAGGGCGUGAGCCCUUCCUGGCUGUGGCCGGCAGACGUGCCCGGGGGCCACAGGCUACGGCCCUGAGGGACGCCUCAGGAGGACAAAGGAAGGCUGGGGACGCCCAGAUACUUCCGACGGGGCAGGCGUGGAGUCUGCAUUCCCAGCACAGACGGGGUGGCCGGUAAGGCCUUCUUAUUAUUAGUCUUUUGUAGUUGUAAGGUGCUUUCUUGGUUGUCUUGUUGUUUGUUGAUUGUAUUCUCUUGUCAUUUAGCAUUGUAUGGGGCGCUGUGAUGGCUCCCAUUUGGUAGAUUUGGAAUCUGCAUUUGUAUUGCCAGCAUGGUCGCGUGACUCUGAAGUGGUUCUGGAGUCUGCAUUUGUAGGUUCUGAAGUGGUUCCGGAGCUUGCAUUUGUAUUACCGGCAUCCUCACAGGGCUCUGAGGCGGUUCCAGAGUCUGUGUUUGUAUUGCCAGCAUCAUCGCGACCAGUAGUUUAUCUCAAUUCCUUUAUGGACACUUUGUGUGGUUGUUGUGUGCUGAUUCUCUACACUGUUUGUCUGUUCGUGUACAUUGUGUUGUCUGCUAACAUGGGCCAGACUGUGUCUACACCUUUGUCUCUAACUUUGAAUCAUUGGUAGUAGGUAAGCGACCGGGCACAUAACCUCUUUGUCAGUCAAGAAGGUAAAGUGACAGUCUUUCUGUGCCUCUGAAUGGCCAGCUCUCGGAGUGGAUUGGCCCCCUGGAGGGCUCUCCAUUUACCACUCAUUCGCCAAGUGAAAGAGGCCGUUCUCCUGCCUGGCCGUCAUGGGCACCCAGACCGGGAUUUUGAGAAAACAUCGGAGAAGGGAAGUUACUACUGUUCUGCAGGACUCUCCACUGUGAUGUACGGUUUGAUCCCCAGACCUUAUGUAAGGGAUGACUGACCUUUUCUGUAAUAAUGCCUGGCCACAGUAUAGGGCCCCAAACAACAACAACAACAACAACAAAGGUUAAACUAUAAAAUAAUGUGACAACUAAAUCAAUUUUUGGGUGUAAAAAGUAUGCAAGCAGGUCACCACAGUUGAUCUUACCUAAAGGGUCAUAGUUCUCCUCAUGGGCACAGUCUUAACUCGCAGGAAAAUACUAAGUGUCAGAAUUUGCCCAUGACCAUAAUUUUUCUAGCUUACCCUGAUAUUAAAAAAUCUCCAAAAAUCAGGGUGGGUUGGGCACCCCCUUGAUUUGCAUCAUAGAGGCUGCCUCCAGGGUCCACUUUAUUAGAGACAAAGGGAAUGAGGAGCAAGCUAGCAGCAGGAGCAAUGUAGGGAUGGGCAACAGGCCAAUCAAUGGCUGCUUUACACAGUGAUCUGCCGUCAAGGAGACCCAGCAAGGCCAGUGCACCCCAAACCUGUGCACCUGUUGCUGAUAUAAGGAGCCAGGGCAUUGGGCAAGCAGCUGUCGUGACAGCAAAUGCCUUCUGUCAGCCCUGCCAAGAGCACAGCCACUGGACACGGAACUGCCCUGGGUGUCGAAGGACUCCUGGUUCAGAACCGCUGACCCUGUGGCCCCGAGCUAAAAAGCCUUUGGCUCUGUCCAGCCUCUGCCCAGCUUCCAGCUCCAGCCACUGCUAUUGAGGGGAUGGCCUAGGGUCAGUGAAAUGCAAGUUGCCUAUUUCCAUCAGCCUCCUAUUCAGCUCUCCUCCUAGUCCAGCCAUGUAAUGCAAGUCAACAGGGUGCCUCCCUUAAAGGAGAUUUGCAUCUCUUUCAAUUCUCUUCCAGCACCCCGUGGAUAGGUCUGCGCCUCUCAUACCCAGCCAGGCCUUCAAAGUCUAUCCAAUAACAUUAAGCUUAGAAAGCCCUCCCUGCCAGUUCCUAAAAACAGGGCUUUCAGUAACAGCUAACUCAGAUAGCCCUACACCGAUUUGGACAGGUCCUCACUGAGAACUUAAAGGGCCUAUCUCUUGAGGGGGGGUGCACAAUAAUCCAUAAUAUAAAUGGUUAAAUGUAAAUAAUUCAUUAGUCUGUCCUUUUCCCAGCCUGAGACUCUAGUCUUGUACAUUGGCUUAACUUCCUAGCAAAACUGGCUACUAAAUAAAAAAAAAAAAAAUUGUCUCUGGGUCAAUCAGACUAGACAGGCACAAACCCAAAUUUGUACUUUUCCUGGAAAAAGCCAAACAGCUCCAGGAUCAGGCCAAGCAGGGCUGGGAUUUCUGGCCUGCCAUCUGGUCAUGGAAAUCCUGGCUAUUUCCUCUCCUUGGCCCACUAACUUCUGCAAUCUUGAUGCUUCUCUUUGCACCGUGUGUUUUUAAUGCCCUUGUUCGUUUUGUCUCUAACAGACUAAAAGCUGUUGAACUCCAAAUGGUCAUCAGGCAAGACUUCCAGCCCAUUCCACUGGACGACUUGAGCAGCCUUCUGGACCGAGCAACACAGUCUUUCCAAGGCCACUGUUGCACACCAUAAGACAGGUAGCAAGAGGAAAUACCCAAAUCCCCUCGACGCCCACAUGCCAGCUUCGAAGAAGUUACAGAAAACGGAACUCCAUCCAUAAUCCCAAAGAAGAAUUUUGGGUAUUGCCUCUUGAGGGGAAAAUAUUAGGCAGAAAGUCAGUUAUGAGCUUAUGUGUGUGUGACAUAAAGGCCUAAUGUGUCCAGCAUAUGCAUCUGUAUCUCAGUCAUCCUGACAAUGUUUCACAGGCAGCCUGGCCUUCGCAUCCUGCCCUGCCCCCUUCUACCUGAUAACCUGCCAGGUGGAGGUCCCCGCCCCUUCUGCCUGAGAAAUCUUCCACAAUCUCCCAGAUGCAGCCCAGUAUCUGCAUUUCAGUAUUACAAAACAGGUGGGGGUUAAAUCUCAUUUUCAUGGUGGGGGGGUUAUGCACGGCCCUAAAAAAAAAAAAAAAAAAUAUUGUUUUUAUGCUGACUGAACCGGGGUGGUUAGAAACUCCAUGGCCAAACUCAAAAAACGACUGGAAAAAUGGCAACGGGAAAGGAAAACUCAACAGGGAUGGUUUGAGUCAUGGUUCUGCCGGUCCCCAUGGCUUACUACUCUACUGUCAGCCCUAACAGGACCCUUAAUUGUUCUAUUCCUAAUUGUAACCAUAGGACCUUGUGUGUUAAAUAGACUCAUCACCUUCGUGCGGAAACAAGUUAAAAAUGUUAAACACAUGGUCAUAAGACAACAAUAUGUCACAUUAAAAGAUACAAAAACAAAUCUCUAAGAUUAGAGAUCCUCACAACAAGGAGUGGGGAAUGAAGAGUUAAAAUUGUAUAUGUGCAGGUGUAAAAAGUUAAGCUUAAGCUUACAGGUUUAAACCUUGCUGGUACAGCUGUAAAAAAAAUAAGACAGAGUAGCACCUUGGCAGUAGGGACUCCAUUUUGGAGCACUUGAGACUGCAUUCUGGGAAAGCACCCCCCCACUGUGAGACUCUGGUCUGAAACUAUGAUCUCAAAUAGUCGGACAAUAGCAGUGCACUACAUCACCCUUGGCAAUGCACAAAAACCCCCUAGCAUGACUGCUCAAGCUUAAAAGUAGAAAGGUUGCACCUGGGUUACCUGGGCUAAUAAUAAAGAUGUGAUUUGUCUGUGUCUUACAUUAAUGUCAAGUCCUAAUUGCUAAUUGUAAUAUUGUAACUGGUAUUGUCAAGAUUAUGAUAAAUAUUAAUUUCAAUUAGGUUUUAGGUUAUGUUGACCCCAGUAACCAUAUACUCUUUUGAUUUUAUGUACUCUCUUUUGAUUUUAGCAACUGUGUAUAGCAACCGUGCAUAGCAACCGUGUAUUCCCCCCUUCCCAGUUUUGCGGUUUUUGCCUUUAUAAACCCUAACCUUUGGUUAUUCGGGGCUGCUCUGUUCAUGUAUGGUCAGACAGCCCCAGCAUGCUGGAUAAUCAAUAAAGCUUCCCCUUGCUGUUUGCAUAAG